GGGGGUGACUGGCUUCGACUUCGGUAGUUGAUCCAGGGGAAGCGGGUCGGGGACGGCGGACAUAACCCCGUUAACACUGUGACCGCACACCAAUAAGUGCCAACUCAAACAGCACUCAGGCUCAGCUGGCCCUCGCGGCUUAAUAACCCGCAGAGUCAGUAGCCUUGUCAGCCCGGGAGCGCCUCCGGCCCGGUGCCUGGCAUCAGCGAGGAGGAUUACCUGUUAGCCCGGUCGCGGGACUAACCGGGACAACAAACAGCGACUGAGCCCGUCGGCAAGCUUGCCUGCAAGACUGCCGGGGCCGAGAAAAGCGCAGCAGGCUGCACCCGGAGAAGCCCUGGUGAGGUGCUGAAGGACGCGGGUUCGAUUCCCGCCACCUCCACUC
rnacentral:tmRNA from 1 species